rnacentral:rRNA from 1 species
AUGUCCUUGCACUUCGACGGGUGCCCAGGUGCGUGUCCCUGUUCUUCUACUCCGACGGCCAGCUACCCAGAAGUUCCCCUGCUUCCUCUUCGAUUGGCAGCCAAACGGCACACAACUGCGAGCAUGGUAGCGUGUGAAGCACUUGAACCCGCUUGGAUCACGGCAAGACAGAUAGAAGCAGUACGAAGAGCAAUAACACGAUAUGCACGUCGUGGUGGAAAAAUAUGGGUACGUAUAUUUCUCGACAAACCGGUUACACUAAGACCCACGGAAACACGUAUGGGCUAG